UUUAUAAAUCAAAUCAAAUUUUAUUAGUCACAUAUGCCGAAUACAACAGUGAAAUGCUUACUUACAAGCCCCUAGCCAACAAUGCAGUUAAAAGCAAACAAAUAACAAAUAAAAGUAACAAGUAGUUAAAGAGCAGCAGUAAAUAACAAUAGCGAGACUAUAUACAGGGGGUACUGGUACAGAGACUAUAUACAGGGGGGUACUGGUACAGAGACUAUAUACAGGGGGUACUGGUACAGAGACUAUAUACAGGGGGUACUGGUACAGAGACUAUAUACAGGGGGGUACUGGUACAGAGACUAUAUACAGGGGGUACUGGUACAGAGACUAUAUACAGGGGGGUACUGGUACAGAGACUAUAUACAGGGGGUACUGGUACAGAGACUAUAUACAGGGGGGUACUGGUACAGAGACUAUAUACAGGGGGGUACUGGUACAGAGACUAUAUACAGGGGGGUACUGGUACAGAGACUAUAUACAGGGGGGUACUGGUACAGAGACUAUAUACAGGGGGGUACUGGUACAGAGACUAUAUACAGGGGGUACUGGUACAGAGACUAUAUACAGGGGGUACUGGUACAGAGACUAUAUACAGGGGGGUACUGGUACAGAGACUAUAUACAGGGGGUACUGGUACAGAGACUAUACAGGGGGUACUGGUACAGAGACUAUUUACAGGGGGGUACUGGUACAGAGACUAUAUACAGGGGGGUACUGGUACAGAGACUAUAUACAGGGGGUACUGGUACAGAGACUAUAUACAGGGGGUACUGGUACAGAGACUAUAUACAGGGGGGUACUGGUACAGAGACUAUAUACAGGGGGUACUGGUACAGAGACUAUAUACAGGGGGGUACUGGUACAGAGACUAUAUACAGGGGGGUACUGGUACAGAGACUAUAUACAGGGGGUACUGGUACAGAGACUAUAUACAGGGGGGUACUGGUACAGAGACUAUAUACAGGGGGUACUGGUACAGAGACUAUAUACAGGGGGUACUGGUACAGAGACUAUAUACAGGGGGGUACUGGUACAGAGACUAUAUACAGGGGGUACUGGUACAGAGACUAUUUACAGGGGGGUACUGGUACAGAGACUAUUUACAGGGGGUACUGGUACAGAGACUAUAUACAGGGGGGUACUGGUACAGAGACUAUAUACAGGGGGUACUGGUACAGAGACUAUUUACAGGGGGGUACUGGUACAGAGACUAUAUACAAGGGGGUACUGGUACAGAGACUAUAUACAGGGGGGUACCGGUACAGAGACUAUAUACAGGGGGGUACUGGUACAGAGACUAUAUACAGGGGGUACUGGUACAGAGUCCAU
rnacentral:lncRNA from 1 species